rnacentral:rRNA from 1 species
UACGGAGGGGGCUAGCGUUGUUCGGAAUUACUGGGCGUAAAGCGCGCGUAGGCGGCUUUGUAAGUCAGAGGUGAAAUCCCGGGGCUCAACUCCGGAACUGCCUUUGAAACUGCAUCGCUUGAAUGUCGGAGAGGUGAGUGGAAUUCCGAGUGUAGAGGUGAAAUUCGUAGAUAUUCGGAAGAACACCAGUGGCGAAGGCGGCUCACUGGACGACUAUUGACGCUGAGGUGCGAAAGCGUGGGGAGCGAUCCGG